rnacentral:miRNA from 1 species
AGAGGCAGGCGGAUCUCUCUGAGUUCGAGGCCAGCCUGGUCUACAGAGCGAGUUCCAGGACAGCCAGAACUACACAGAGAAACCCUGUCUCAAAAA